GUGGGUAUAGCUCAGUUGGUAGAGUGCUUGCCUUGCAUGCAUAAGGUCCUGGGUUCUAUUCCCAGCGCCACACA
rnacentral:tRNA from 1 species